GACGUAGGGCGCGAGCGUUGUCCGGAUUUAUUGGGCGUAAAGAGCGUGUAGGCGGCCAGAUAGGUCUGCUGUGAAAACUCGAGGCUCAACCUCGAGAUGUCGGCGGAAACCAUUUGGCUAGAGUCCGGAAGAGGAAAGUGGAAUUCCUGGUGUAGCGGUGAAAUGCGCAGAUAUCAGGAAGAACACCCGUGGCGAAGGCGGCUUUCUGGGACGGUACUGACGCUGGAGACGCGAAAGCUAGGGGAGCGAACAGG
rnacentral:rRNA from 1 species